rnacentral:rRNA from 1 species
UACGAAGGGGGCUAGCGUUGUUCGGAAUUACUGGGCGUAAAGCGCACGUAGGCGGACUACUAAGUCAGGGGUGAAAUCCCGGGGCUCAACCCCGGAACUGCCUUUGAUACUGAUAGUCUCGAGUCCGGAAGAGGUGAGUGGAAUUCCGAGUGUGGAGGUGAAAUUCGUAGAUAUUCGGAGGAACACCAGUGGCGAAGGCGGCUCACUGGUCCGGUACUGACGCUGAGGUGCGAAAGCGUGGGGAGCAAACAGG